rnacentral:rRNA from 1 species
GUGGGGAAUCUUGCGCAAUGGGCGAAAGCCUGACGCAGCAACGCCGCGUGGGGGAUGAAGGCUCUCGGGUUGUAAACCCCUUUCAGCAGGGACGAAUCAAGACGGUACCUGCAGAAGAAGCCCCGGCUAACUACGUGCCAGCAGCCGCGGUAACACGUAGGGGGCAAGCGUUGUCCGGAUUUAUUGGGCGUAAAGAGCUCGUAGGUGGCUGAGUAAGGCGGAUGUCAAAUCCCCAGGCUCAACCUGGGAUCCCAUCCGAUACUGCUCUGGCUAGAGUCCGGUAGGGGAGCGUGGAAUUCCUGGUGUAGCGGUGAAAUGCGCAGAUAUCAGGAGGAACACCAGCGGCGAAGGCGGCGCUCUGGGCCGGUACUGACACUGAGGAGCGAAAGCGUGGGUAGCAAACAGGAUUAGAAACCCGUGUAGUCC